GGUCUCAUAGCUCAGUGGUUAGAGCAUGCGAUUGCAGAUCGCAGGGCCGCGUGUUCGAAUCACGCUGGGACCU
rnacentral:tRNA from 1 species